AACGAACGCUGGCGGCACGUUUUAAGCAUGCAAGUCGAACGGCAGUGGGGGCAACCCCAUGAGAGUGGCGAACGGGUGAGUAACACGUAGGUGAUCUGCCUUUGGGUUGGGGAUAGCUUGUGGAAACACAGGGUAAUACCGAAUGAGCUGACGAGGCUUUGGCCAUGUUAGUAACGGUGCUACGGCACCGCCUAGAGAGGAGCCUGCGGCUGGUUGGCGAGUUGGUGGGGAAAAGGUCUACCAAGGCGACGAUCAGUAGCCGGCCUGAGAGGGUGAACGGCCACACUGGAACUGAGACACGGUCCAGACUCCUACGGGAGGCAGCAGCUAAGAAUCAUCCGAAAGGGGCGAAAGCCUGACGGAGCGAUGCCGCGUGAUCGAUGAAGGUCGAGAGAUUGUAAAGAUCUUUUCCAACUGAGGAAUAAGUGGACCAGGGAAUGGGUUCAUGAUGACGUUAAGUUGGGAAUAAGCCCCGGCUAAUUACGUGCCAGCCGCCGCCGUAA
rnacentral:rRNA from 1 species